rnacentral:lncRNA from 1 species
AUCCGUAUACUCCGUCCGAGAUCGUGAAUGAUGUUUCAUAGUAUUCGGAGGCUUGGAGGAGUGUAAAGUAGACCCCUAAAGAGAUUGUAAUAAAUAGUGCUUGGAGCAUGUGUUUUCGAUUUCCUUCCAUCAAACUGUGGUGAGCUCAGGUGAUUGAUACUCCGGAGGCUAGAAGCACGGAGGUAUUAAGUAGUGGAACUUCCAGGGGGUUCAGGGGAAUAAUGCCUGUCGGUGGUCAGCAUCCUCCUAGCUCGGGGGUUGGGGCUAGGCUUGAGUGGUAGAAGGCCCAGAAGAAGCCUGCGAAAAAGAAUACUUCUGAGAUGAUAAAGAGGCUGAUAGUCUCAAUGACUACAAGCAUAGGAAUUAGGGGGACAGGUGUUCCUUGUGGUAGAAAGUGGGCCAGAGAUGCUUUAGUCUUGUGGCGAAACCCGGUAAUUACAGUGCCGGCUCAUAGCGGGAUAGCUAUUCCUAAAUUUAUUGAUAAUUGGGUAGUUGGGGUGAAUGAGCUUCAAAUGUGUGGUACGGAGGAGGACAUCCAUGCAAUCAUUCAAGAUUAGUUGUGGUUAGUUCUACUAUGGCCACUUCUCGCUUGGAUGCGAAAGCUUCUCACACUAUGAAAACUAUUAACAUGACUGCCGUUAAUGAGAUGAAAGAGCCCAUUGAGGAAAUCGUAUUUCAAGUUGUAUAUGCAUCUGGAUAGUCAGAAUAACGUCGUGGCAUUCCGGACAGGCCUAGGAAGUGCUGAGGGAAGAACGUUAUAUUGACUCCUACAAACAUAAUCGUAAAGUGAAUCUUUGCUCAAGUGUUGUCAAGGGUGUAUCCUGAGAAUAGGGGGAAUCAAUGGACGAAGCCUCCUAUGAUAGCGAAUACUGCUCCUAUUGACAAGACAUAGUGAAAGUGGGCCACUACGUAAUAUGUGUCGUGAAGAACAAUGUCUAAUGAAGAGUUUGCUAGUACAAUUCCCGUUAGGCCUCCUACGGUAAAUAGGAAAAUAAAGCCUAAGGCUCAUAAUAUAGCA